rnacentral:lncRNA from 1 species
GCACCUCGGGCUCCGACAGGAAGGGCGGCAGCCGCUCCCGCCGCAGGAAGGCCCGCAGCGCCUCGGGGCCGCCCGCCACCAGCUCCUCCAGCGCCAGCCGCUGCGCCUCGCUGUACGGCCCGGGCGGCCGCGGCGGCCAUUGCCCGGCGCCCUCCUCCAGGUACUGCGACGCGUUGGCCAUGGCGCGGGCGGGCGACCCCGGGCAGCGCUGUGGCAGCGCCUUUAUAGCGCCUUUGAAUCCCAACGGCGCCGCGCAACGCCGCCACUGGGGGAGCCGCGCUCCGCCCCCCGCCGCCAUUGGCUGCCCGCCCCACCCCGCCCCGCCGCCCAUCGCCACAGCGAAGCCCACAAGAACCAGCGGCGUGUUCUGUGUUAUUAAAAGAAAUUUAAUAUAUAUUUUUUUUAAAUUAAAAAAUUCAAUCUCUCUAUUAAAGACGCAGGUCAGGUGCUAAUACUGUCAGACAUACCCUUUUGGCAUGAGUUUUACAUAAAAUUUA